rnacentral:tRNA from 1 species
UUCAGGGUAACCUAAUAGACAUGGCAUCUGCCCGGUAAGCGGAACACUGUGGGGUUCGAUACCCAUCCCUGGAC